GACUGAACAGCUGAUCAGACCCAGUUUACAUGUUUGUUUCUGAAACGACAGGUUUAUGUUUGGAAGUUUCAGAGACACAGUUUGACUUUAACUGUUUCUAUCAGAGCAUUUACUGCUGAGUCAACAAACACGUCUCAUGUAAACAACAGUUUGUACCAAGUCUCAAUUUAGUCUUAGACGCUAAAACAACAUCAGUUUUUCUACCUCCUCGGGAUUUGUUCAUGUCUUUUUAUCCACUGAUCUCCUGCUGAUCCUGAGUCAGUUCAGAAUAAUUAACCAGCUGAUACUCAGGACUGAAGACUCAGGUCUGUACCUGUGUGAAGUGAGGACAAAGUAUGGUGGGAGCUCUGAGAAAUGUCAACUCAGCAUCACUGCAGCUGAUAAGCCCAAACCUAAGAGAUCACCUGUGGUGAGACCAACUGAGACCAACUGUGAGACCAACAGCAGACAAGUGGAAAAAGAUUAGGUACAACUUGGGACUGGCCUUCAUAUCAAUUCUUUGCUUUGUUGUGGUUUGCUUUGUGCACCUUGGUUAAGAGAAAGAAUCUGUGGCAUCCAAUGAGGAGGCUGCAGACUGGAACUACCCCUCCCUCUACUCAGAGGAAUCAUUAAGUCUGUUCAGUCACUGUUCACUCCGUUCUUCUCCAAUCAGUUUUAAUCAAUCAUCAGUGUGGAGUCAUUAUUUAAUAAAAAUGUGAUACUAUUGUAUCUUAAUUAUAUGACCAAUAAACUGUCUUUCCUAAUGUACUACUUGUAAAUAAAUAAUUCCAUAUUCACAUGA